UACGUAGGCAGCGAGCGUUGUUCGGAGUUACUGGGCGUAAAGGGUGUGUAGGCGGUUCUUUAAGUUUGGUGUGAAAUCUCCCGGCUCAACCGGGAGGGUGCGCCGAAUACUGAGGGACUAGAGUGCGGGAGAGGAAAGUGGAAUUCCUGGUGUAGCGGUGAAAUGCGUAGAUAUCAGGAGGAACACCGGUGGCGAAGGCGGCAUCCUGGACCGACACUGACGCUGAGGAGCGAAAGCCAGGGGAGCAAACGGG
rnacentral:rRNA from 1 species